rnacentral:rRNA from 1 species
UGCGCAGGCGGAUUGAUAAGUCAGUGGUGAAAACCUUCAGCUUAACUGGAGACUUGCCAUUGAUACUGUUAGCCUUGAGUACGGUCAAGGUAGGCGGAAUGUGUAAUGUAGCGGUGAAAUGCUUAGAUAUUACACAGAACACCGAUUGCGAAGGCAGCUUACUGGGCCAUUACUGACGCUGAGGCACGAAAGCGUGGGGAGCGAACAGGAUUAGAUACCCUGGUAGUCC